rnacentral:rRNA from 1 species
AAACUUUACAAUGCGGGAAACCGUGAUAAGGGGACACCGAGUGCCACCAACAUUUGUUGGUUGUCCAGGGGUGUAAACUACACCUGUUACCAAGGGCCGGGCAAGACCGGUGCCAGCCGCCGCUGGUAACACCGGCGGCCCGAGUGGUGAUCGUGAUUAUUGGGUCUAAAGGGCCCGUAUCCGGUUUGGUCAAUCCUCCGGGAAAUCUGACGGCUUAACCGUUAGGCUUUCGGGGGAUACUGCCAGGCUUGGAACCGGGAGAGGUAAGAGGUGCUUCAGGGGUAGGAGUGAAAUCUUGUAAUCCCUGUGGGACCACCUGUGGGGAAGGCUUCUUACCAAAACGGGUUCAACGGUGAGGGACAAAAGCUUGGGGGCUCCGAACCGGAUUUUUAUACCCGGGUAG